GACGAACGCUGGCGGCGUGCUUAACACAUGCAAGUCGAACGGAAAGGCCCUGCUUUUGUGGGGUGCUCGAGUGGCGAACGGGUGAGUAACACGUGAGUAACCUGCCCUUGACUUUGGGAUAACUUCAGGAAACUGGGGCUAAUACCGGAUAGGAGCUCCUGCUGCAUGGUGGGGGUUGGAAAGUUUCGGCGGGUGGGGAUGGACUCGCGGCUUAUCAGCUUGUUGGUGGGGUAGUGGCAUACCAAGGCUUUGACGGGUAGCCGGCCUGAGAGGGUGACCGGCCACAUUGGGACUGAGAUACGGCCCAGACUCCUACGGGAGGCAGCAGUGGGGAAUAUUGCACAAUGGGCGGAAGCCUGAUGCAGCAACGCCGCGUGCGGGAUGACGGCCUUCGGGUUGUAAACCGCUUUCGCCUGUGACGAAGCGUGAGUGACGGUAAUGGGUAAAGAAUCACCGGCUAACUACGUG
rnacentral:rRNA from 1 species